AGGACGAACGCUGGCGGCGUGCUUAACACAUGCAAGUCGAACGAGGUUCAUCCGGUGGCAACACCGGUGAAGACCGAGUGGCGAACGGGUGAGUAACACGUGAGCAACCUGCCCCGAAGACUGGGAUACCACCGGGAAACCGGUGCUAAUACCAGAUAUCCCUACCGGGCCGCAUGACCUGGUAAGGAAAUGGAUUCCGCUUCGGGAGGGGCUCGCGACCUAUCAGCUUGUAGGUGGGGUAAUGGCCUACCUAGGCUCCGACGGGUAGC
rnacentral:rRNA from 1 species